GGAGGGGUCGCAUAGCGGUCUAGUGCACCACCUUGGAAAGGUGGCAUACCUGAAAGGGUAUCAAGAGUUCGAAUCUCUUCCCCUCCG
rnacentral:tRNA from 1 species